rnacentral:misc_RNA from 1 species
AUCCAGACCGUGCCCCCCACAGAGAAUCCUGGUGCUCCUCCAUUUAUUUUUGCUAUAGUGCCGUCUGCUACAGGGGAUGGACAAGUGCUACAGGCUGUUCCAAAUAGUGUGCUACAGGAUGCAGUGAACAGUUCAAACCAAGUGAUUCCAGAUCAGGACCAGGCCAAACCAGAUUAGACAAUUGUUAAAGACAAUUUUGUCUCGGUGAACAUGCAUUAGUCUUUGUCAAGUUACAUGUAGUAGAAAUAUUACAAAAAGAUGCAACUUUGAAGUUGUUCUGAUUAAAGCUUCUUAUGAAGAUAGGUUAAUUAUUUUACAAUUAAGCUCCAAAUAUCAGUCCUACCUCUUCACAGUCCAAACAGGCCAUUGUUUUUAGAAAUGACAGGUACUUACUUAUCGCUUUUGUUUGGAUUCGUUGUUUCAUGUUUUGUUUUUCUUUUCUGUUUCAGCAGGUUCAAAUAAAAUGUUUUU